UAGAAAGUCGGGACGAGUAGGCGGGUGACUGCGGAGGGUGCGAGCGUUAAUCGUAAUUACGUGGCGGAAAGAGCGUGUAGGCGGGGAUAUAAGGCAGAAGUGAAAUCCUAUAGCUUAACUAGAGAACUGCUUUUGAAACUGUAUACCGAGAAUGUGGGGGAGGCAGAUGGAAUUUCUGGUGUAGGGGUAAAAUCCGUAGAGAUCAGAAGGAAUACCGAUUGCGAAGGCGAUCUGCUGGAACAUUAUUGACGCUGAGACGCGAAAGCGUGGGGAGCAAACAGGAUUAGAUACCCGUGUAGUC
rnacentral:rRNA from 1 species